GCCCAUAUAGCUCAGUAGGUAGAGCUUUUCUAUGGUAAGGAAAAGGUUGUUCGUUCGAUUCGGAUUGUGGGCACCA
rnacentral:tRNA from 1 species